GACUGAGCCACCCAGGCGCCCCUAUCGAUCACUUUAAAUACACUUCUCCACAACAGAAAGAGGAACCAUCUCCCAACCCGUUUUGUGAGGCCAGCAUCACAGUGACAGAGACAUUACACAAAAGGAAUAUUAUGGAUUGACCUCUUUCAUUGAACACAGAUGCAAAAAUCCUAAACAAAGUAUUAACCAACUCAAUCUGGAAAUAAGGAAUUUAAAAAGAAUACAUUGAGUUUAUUCCAUGAAUACAAGGUUAAUUUAAUGUAAGAAAUUAAUGUAAUUUACUGCAUUAAGAAAAACUGAAGGAGAAAAAUCACGGGAUCAUCUCAACAGGUGCAGAAAGAGCAUUUGAUGCAACGUGACACCUAUUCAGGAUAACAGCUUAGCGAAUGAGGAAUAGAAGGCACAACCACAAAUAUCCCGUAGCUAAUGUCCUAUGAGAUGCAGUGGACAGGUUCCAAAGAUGGCCACUGACGUUUCUCCCAUGCCGCACAUGUCCAAUGUGAGCUGGCCUGCAGACCCACCUUGGCCCCUGGAACGUGGCAGAAGGGACGCGAGCCGUUUCUCUGCCCAGCACUGGAGAGAGCCGGCAGCGCCUCACACCCGUGGGAAGGGCUAUCACUAAAAACACAAAAGACAGCAAAACAAAAAAAACCACCAGAAAGUGACAAGUAUUGGCCAAGACAGGAGUAAUUGGAACCUUGCUCACCGCCAGUGGGAAGGUAGAACCGUGCAGCUGCUGGGGAAGACAGCCUGGCAGCUCAUCAGAAAAGUAAGCCUAGGACUCCCGUACGGUCCAGCAGUUCCAUGUCCUGCUACGUGGCCAGAAGGUGGCAUGCAGAUACCUGUGUGCCCACGCUCACGGCACCGAGGGUCCACCGUGGGUGAUUGCGCAACACGGUGGGGUCCGUCACACGAUGGGCUGUAAUUCAGCCGUAGGAAGGAAGGAGUGCUGACGUGGGCCGCAACGGGGACGGACCUCAAAAGCACAGUGUUCGGUGUGCGAAGCCAGACACACAAGACCCCGUAUUGUAGAUUCUACUUCUGUGAGGUCCCUGAUGGGGACACCGUGGCCGGGGCGGUGAGUGUCUUCUGGGAAUUCUAGAGGCCAGAGGGAGAGGGCCGAGCCCCCUCAGCGAGUUCGGGGAGGAGCUAGCAGACCCCUCUCCUUCCCCACCUGCUCGAAGCCGCAGAGAUGCCUCGCUGGAGGAGGCCAUGUUCCAACUCUCUAAACUGAGUCUGGACUUUCCAUUACUUCCUAGUCCUGGACACUUAGAAAGACUGAGUUGACACUGGGUUUGUAUCUUAACAUAACCCUAGAACUUUGAAUUCUCUCUGUUUGAGCCAAAAUGUGAUGGAGCUGUCCAAAUGUGUAUCUAGAGCAGGAACAGAACUUCCUCCAUUGAAUAAAUACUAAAGAGCCAGGAAGAGCUAAGGAAAAAGUGAUUUCCAAGUCUGUUCCGGAGUCUUGCUUGUUCAGUGUUCUGGUGACAUAUAUUUUAAAGUGUGUCAUUUAAGUCAGUAUAAUAAACUGAUUUUAGCAGACA